GGUGUGCGCGCGCGGCCGGAGUCUGUGGAGCUGGAAAUUCACCGGUCCAGGAAGACGUCUUUCCCGCGUCCCAGCACCUCGGGCCACGCUCCUUCGUGAGAGCGCCCUCUCCAAGGAGGCCAGCCCUGGAUAUUUCACCCAAAAUAUUUAUUUUUUCUUUUUUUCUAGACCGUUAGGUUCCGUGGUACCCUGGAGUCCACAGCUGCUGAAUCUGAAGGGCCAUCAGAAGACUGGCUUCUCCAUGAUGGUUCAUGGACUAAGGCAAAGAUGAGCAGAGCCAUGGCCCUCUUCUUUGUUCUCUGCUGGAUCCAAGAGUCGGGGUCUCCCUAUGUUUCCCAGGCUGGCCUCGAACUCCUGACCUCAAGUGAUCCUCCCACCUCAGCCUCCCAGAGUGCUGGGAUUAAAGACGUGAGCCACGGCACCUGGCCUGAAUUUUCCUCAAAUUCAAAAAAUGCUGAUGAAGGUUUGGCUAAAAUCUUUGGUGAGUUACCCCACUCCCUGUGGAACCUCAGGCUGGAUUUGAAGAGUUGCGUGCAUGGUCCUCAUUGUCUCCCAGGUAACCUGUUCCCGCUGCUGUGAAGGGAAGGCAGGUGCUCUUCCUUGAGGCUAGAAUCUGUCUACGUGUCACAGUCUCAGGAAAUUAAGCAAAACAGAUGAUAAACACCUCAAAAGGACCCUACUGAGCAUG
rnacentral:sRNA from 1 species